rnacentral:rRNA from 1 species
GUUUACGGCCAUACCAGCCUGGGUACGCCCGAUCUCGUCUGAUCUCGGAAGCUAAGCAUGGUCGGGCCUGGUUAGUAUUUGGAUGGGAGACCGCCUGGGAAUACCAGGUGCUGUAAGCU